rnacentral:rRNA from 1 species
CCUGCGGAGGGAUCAUUGCUGGAACGCGCCCCAGGCGCACCCAGAAACCCUUUGUGAACUUAUACCUUACUGUUGCCUCGGCGCAUGCUGGCCCCCUCGGGGCCCCCUGGAGACAGGGAGCAGGCACGCCGGCGGCCAAGUUAACUCUUGUUUUUACACUGAAACUCUGAGAAAAAACACAAAUGAAUCAAAACUUUCAACAACGGAUCUCUUGGUUCUGGCAUCGAUGAAGAACGCAGCGAAAUGCGAUAAGUAAUGUGAAUUGCAGAAUUCAGUGAAUCAUCGAAUCUUUGAACGCACAUUGCGCCCUCUGGUAUUCCGGAGGGCAUGCCUGUUCGAGCGUCAUUUCAACCCUCAAGCAUUGCUUGGUGUUGGGGCACUGCUUCUAACGAAGCAGGCCCUGAAAUCUAGUGGCGAGCUCGCCAGGACCCCGAGCGCAGUAGUUAAACCCUCGCUCUGGAAGGCCCUGGCGGUGCCCUGCCGUUAAACCCCCAACUUCUGAAAAUUUGACCUCGGAUCAGGUAGGAAUACCCGCUGAACUUAAGCAUAUCAAUA